UCUGUCCCUAGAGUUGCUGCAGUUACAGCUGCUGUCACAUGUGCGUCAGUAGGUGGCAGAGAGGAAAGAGGCUAUGUCUAUGCUCAGUGUUCUGACCUGUGACCAUCGUAAUGAUGAGUAGCCUCACACU